UUGAACGCUGGCGGAAUGCUUUACACAUGCAAGUCGAACGGCGGCACGGGGGCAACCCUGGUGGCGAGUGGCGAACGGGUGAGUAACACAUCGGAACGCGUCCUGUAAUGGGGGAUAACCUGGCGAAAGCCAGGCUAAUACCGCAUACGUCCUGAGGGAGAAAGCGGGGGAUCGCAAGACCUCGCGUUAUAGGAGCGGCCGAUGUCGGAUUAGCUAGUUGGUGGGGUAAAGGCCUACCAAGGCGACGAUCCGUAGCGGGUCUGAGAGGACGGCCCGCCACACUGGGACUGAGACACGGCCCAGACUCCUACGGGAGGCAGCAGUGGGGAAUUUUGGACAAUGGGCGCAAGCCUGAUCCAGCCAUUCCGCGUGAGUGAAGAAGGCCUUCGGGUUGUAAAGCUCUUUCAGCAGGAACGAAACGGUCGGCUUUAAUAAAGUCGGCUAAUGACGGUACCUGCAGAAGAAGCACCGGCUAACUACGU
rnacentral:rRNA from 1 species